rnacentral:rRNA from 1 species
UACGUAGGGGGCUAGCGUUGUCCGGAAUCAUUGGGCGUAAAGCGCGCGUAGGCGGCCCGGUAAGUCCGCUGUAAAAGUCCAGGGCUCAACCCUGGAAAGCCGGUGGAUACUGUCGGGCUCGAGUCCGGAAGAGGCGAGUGGAAUUCCUGGUGUAGCGGUGAAAUGCGCAGAUAUCAGGAAGAACACCUAUGGCGAAGGCAGCUCUCUGGGACGGUACUGACGCUGAGACGCGAAAGCGUGGGGAGCGAACAGG